GCGCACCAGUCGCGAAACCUCCGCAAUACACGAAAGUGUGACGGGGCCAUCCCGAGUGCCGUCCGCUGAGGACGGCUUUUCCCCAGUGUGCACAGCUGGGGGAAUAAGGAGAGGGCAAGCCUGGUGUCAGCCGCCGCGGUAAUACCAGCUCUCCGAGUGGUGGGGACGCUUAUUGGGCCUAAAGCAUCCGUAGCCGGCUGGGCAAGUCCUCCGUUAAAUCCAACGAUUUAAUCGUUGGGCUGCGGGGGAUACUGUCCAGCUUGGGGGCGGGAGAGGCCGACGGUAUUCCCGGGGUAGGGGUGAAAUCCUAUAAUCCCGGGAGGACCACCAGUGGCGAAGGCUGUCGGCUAGAACGCGCCCGACGGUGAGGGAUGAAAGCUGGGGGAGCGAACCGGAUUAGAUACCGCGUAGU
rnacentral:rRNA from 1 species